UUGGCGGUCCCAGCAGUCUGGGCCCCGUGAGUCGGAUGCAAAACAGGCAGCACAAACGUCUGGUGCUGAAUCCCAAGAGGAUUCCUCUCGGGGCGCCAUCACGUGGGAACACGGCCUCCGCACUGUGCAUCUGACGGGACCACAGGCCUGGAGGACGGUGACCGUGUGGUAGGCAGGGAGCUGGGUUCUCUGUGGCUCAAGCCUGGCUCCUGUCUGGGGACGCCGUCCGAGGCCUGGUGGCACCAUCACCAGAAUGUCACUCCUGCAUCCUCACCUGCCUCCUAGACCAGCUUUACCAGGAAUCCAACUGCACACUCGCCACACACACCCAAGAUCGGGCUCACUGUCUUAUUCCAAAGCAUCUGUUCUUCCUCCAUUCUCUCUCUUGAGGAGUGUUUCCGAAGCCUCCAGCAUCACCUGGUCUCCCAGAUGAAACCUGAGGGUCGGACUCUCCAUGUGAGUCCCUUGAAGCAGAAAGGAAGACACAGGACUUAUGACCAUGCCUUGGCGCACACGGGCCUUCUCAAUGCUUUUAGGACCAAGACUACCAUCUUCCAGCUGUACCCAGUACUCAGCAAGUGACAUGACAGAGCUCGUGGUUGAGCUCCUCCUCCUGCCCUCAUCUUUGGCAUCACCGGAGAACACAGAGGGGAUGCGGGUUCGAUCCCUGGUCGGGGAACUAAGAUCCCACAUGCCUCGGGGCAACUAAGCCUGCACGCCACAACUACUGAGCUUGUGCGCCUCAACGAGAGAGCCCACGUGCUGCAAACUACAGAGCCCACGCACCCUGGAGCCCGCACUACACAACUAGAGAGAGAAAAACCCGCAUGCCACAGCUAAAGAGAAGCCCGUGUGCUGCAACGAAAGAACCCGCAGGCCUCAACCAAGAUCCCGUGUGCCUCAACUAAGA